CAGGAGCCCUUUGGUGGCACGUGUUGGGGUCAUGCAGAGCCAUCCUGCCGCAAGAAGGGGGUGGUGGCGGUUCCGGGCGCCCCCGCCAUCCGUGCGCAGCUGCCCGCGUUGCGGCAGGUCCCUGAUUCUCGCAGGUGCGUCUGCAGCGCCGCGAGGGGGUUUACAAUCUCCACCCGUGUGUCAUCUUUGAGUACAGGUGUUUAGCAUGAGUUUUGGAAGCCCAGCCAGGGGCAGUGCCCCUUCACAGAUUCACCAGUAACCUGGCGGACUGAAAGCCUAAGGUCACUGCUGUUGGAGAAGUGCUGUUGAGAAGGCUGGGGUGCCUAGGUGAUGAAUGGUUCCUUCCACUUCAGGCCCAGGCCAUGACAUGAGGAGCCACAGCCCUUCUCUGGCAACCAUGGAUUUUGCUGAUUCAAAGGAUGCUCUCUGGUGUUGGGAAGACCCUAGGAACUUAAUCUUUCCUGCAUUAGCCAGUGUGAGCAGCUGUCAACCUCUCCAGAAAACUGCCUAGAAAUGUGGGAGCACUAAAAUAUCAAUUAGCUUUCACUUCUUUACUUUGUCUUAAAUAAGUACUUGGCUUUAUCAAAAGGAUUCCAAUAAAAUAUAUUAAAGCAAAUAAAGUAGAUUCUUUGGUCUCA